CGUGCUAAUCUGCGAUAAGCGCCGGUAAGGUGAUAUGAACCGUUAUAACCGGCGAUACCCGAAUGGGGAAACCCAGUGUGACUCGUCACACUAUCAUUAACUGAAUCCAUAGGUUAAUGAGGCGAACCGGGGGAACUGAAACAUCUAAGUACCCCGAGGAAAAGAAAUCAACCGAGAUUCCCCCAGUAGCGGCGAGCGAACGGGGAGGAGCCCAGAGCCUGAAUCAGCAUGUGUGUUAGUGGAAGCGUCUGGAAAGGCGCGCGAUACAGGGU
rnacentral:rRNA from 1 species